rnacentral:rRNA from 1 species
CCCUUAGACGUUCUGGGCCGCACGCGCGCUACACUGACCAGUGCAACAAGCAUCCGUCCUUGGCCGACAGGCUCGGGCAAUCUUUGAACGCUGGUCGUGAUGGGGAUAGACUUUUGCAAUUUUUGGUCUUCAACGAGGAAUUCCUAGUAAACGCAAGUCAUCAACUUGCAUUGAUUACGUCCCUGCCCUUUGUACACACCGCCCGUCGCACCUACCGAUUGAAUGGUCCGGUGAAAUCUCGGGACGGCGGCUUGGUCGCUUGCGUCCGACUGCUGAAACUUGAUUAAACCAUNUNAUUUAGNGGAAGGUGAANUCGUANCA